rnacentral:rRNA from 1 species
AGAUUGAACGCUAGCGGGAUGCUUUACACACGCAAGUCGAACGGCAGCGCGGACUUCGGUCUGGCGGCGAGUGGCGAACGGGUGAGUAAUAUAUCGGAACGUGCCCAGUAGCGGGGGAUAACUACGCGAAAGCGUGGCUAAUACCGCAUACGCCCUACGGGGGAAAGGGGGGGAUCGCAAGACCUCUCACUAUUGGAGCGGCCGAUAUCAGAUUAGCUAGUUGGUGAGGUAAAGGCUCACCAAGGCGACGAUCUGUAGCUGGUUUGAGAGGACGACCAGCCACACUGGGACUGAGACACGGCCCAGACUCCUACGGGAGGCAGCAGUGGGGAAUUUGGACAAGUGGGGGAAACCUGGAUCCAGCCAUCCCGCGUGUGCGAUAGAAGGUCCGUUCGGGUUAGUAAAGCUAACGUUUUGGCGUAAGGAAAGUAAACGGACGUACGACCCGUAAGUAACCGGACCGGU